CCUACGGGAGGCAGCAGUGAGGAAUAUUGGUCAAUGGCCGAGAGGCUGAACCAGCCAAGUCGCGUGAGGGAAGAAUGUCCUAUGGAUUGUAAACCUCUUUUGUCAGGGAGCAAAGUCACCCACGUGUGGGUGUUGGAGAGUACCUGAAGAAAAAGCAUCGGCUAACUCCGUGCCAGCAGCCGCGGUAAUACGGAGGAUGCGAGCGUUAUCCGGAUUUAUUGGGUUUAAAGGGUGCGUAGGCGGGUUAUCAAGUCAGCGGUAAAAUCGUGGAGCUCAACUCCAUCCCGCCGUUGAAACUGAUGGUCGUGAGUGGACGAGAGGUAGGCGGAAUGUGUGGUGGAGAGGUGAAAUGCAGAGAGAUAACGCAGAA
rnacentral:rRNA from 1 species